GGUCACUCUGCAUCAAUGGCCCUUUCGUCGAUCCGUAAUUACAUUGAUGCCCACCACACAAAUGCAAAAUGGCCGCGUGGUGUCUCCCUCGAAGAGCCAUGUAAGCGACGCCGCGAUGGUUUCCUUCUCCUAUUGGGCCGCAGCAGAAGCCGAGGUGACAUCCUGUGUUGAAGCAUGGAACUGUGAUGUUGAAAGCCCUUUGCCAAGUAGGAAGUUCCUCGAGGUUUUGUGGAAGAAGUCUUGCUCGGGAUGAAUAAUACCGGCGCUGAACCCAAUCUGGAAAGGGCCCGCCGAGUUUCUACAGCAGUUCGGUUAUAUUAUCAGCACAUCGACAAUGGCUUCUGGUUUGAACCCACGUAGUGUGGCAUUUUGUCAUGCAAUUGAGGGGCUAGGAAAAGCUAGCCGGAUUCCAGAACCUACAAUUUGAUGUUCUCUAACUUCAUAUCGAUUGGAGAUUUAGAUGUAUGACACAGAUAGCGAUACUUGAUACCGAAUUGAUUAGUGUGUUUGGUGUUCCUCAAAAUUAGAAGAGUGGCAGAUGCACUUGAAUUAACUGAUGAUAUGCUUGGCCGAGGAGUUUUGCCCAACUUUGGGAUGAUUAAGCUUAGUUGAGACUACAUGCAGACUUACCUGAAAGUCAAAAGCAUACCUCUGAAUGCUAAUUCACAAAGCUAUUGGCAUCCCCGAGUCUAUUCACCAGUAUCCUUUAUUCCUCAAUCAAGAUAAUGUUUGGCUUAUAUCUUGAAUGGAUGAUUAUGGUCAGCCAUGAAACAAUCUCAAUUUCCUUGGCCGCUAUCUGCAGAGUCAUGAUAGAUAGCCUUGGCUUCCAGG